CACUCCUUCAUCAGUCAUAUACUGCUGCUCACUCUGUGCCAGACAGUCUUCUGGGUACUGGGGAGACAGCAGUGAACUAAACCUGUAGUAAUUCCUGCCCUCAUGGAGCUUACACAGUAGCGGGGAGGGACAGAUGCUGAAUAAAUACAUGUGUAAAACAGAAUUUCAGAUGCUGGUAAGAGUGAUGGAGAAACACAGGGCUGGGAAAGGAGAUGGGGCUCCUUUUGUGCAUUGCUUCAAUCUUCAUGGUCCUCCCUUUGACUCCAGCUGCUGCUGCCGAGACUUUGGGCAGCUCUGCAUAGAGCUGCACAGAGCUCUGGGGCUUCUCUGAUGCUGAACCCGGGCACUCCAUGGGAACCAGGUCUACACUCAGAAAUGCACAACCCCAAAGUGAGGGCAGUUAGUGCCCAGAUGGGCAGGAGGGUGUCAGUAAAUGUUUCUUGCUUUUGUUCCCCAAGCAGAUGGUUCUGAUACACAUUUCCUAAGCUUCCUCAGAAGGCACCCGGAAGGAUGAAUCAUUGCAUGGAGACAGUCAGCUAGAUUGCAUACCUGUGAUGAGCCUUCCCUCUGUGCUUCUUUCACUCGCCCAGUACUGCCCUUCUGCUCCUUGGGAUUGCAUUCGCAAAUAACCCCCUGCAUCUUCCUGGAGUUGCCAAUGAAGUGGUAAGUUCUUGGAAGACUGUACUACAGAUACUGAUGUGUUAUCUUGAUGGAUGCUGAUCCUGGAGCGUCACUCCUAACUUCAUUUAUGGAACAAACAUUUACUUAGUACUACAAUGAAAACUUCAUUGUGUGUAACAAGCAGGCAUGCAGACAGGAGUUGACUCCACCUUUUCAUCUGCUCUUCAAGCAAGGAGACCAUCAUGGCCAAUUGGUGGCCUCCAGCAGAAAAAGAAACCCAGCAAAUCCCCACAGGCCAUAGAAACAGUCCUCUCUGCUUCUCUACUUCUUGGAAAAUAAGGUGUAUCAAGUGUCAGGCCCUUGGUUCUUCCCUAACACCUCCUGGAGUGAGCUCCUCUUUAACCUGUUCCAGUUGGAGGGAGGCAGCACAUCUCAGUGGUCAAGAUCAUGACCUUGGUGUCAGAUGGCUUUGGGCUUCAUUCCUCACUGUGUGGCCUCAGAGUUCUCCCCUUUAAACUCAACAAAGGAUAACAUCCACUGUCGCUUUUCUUCUUGAAGAAGGAUAACAGGGAGAGAAUGAAGGGUGGAGAGAAACCAGAAUCUCAAGUAGAUCUUGAAUUUGUAGGCUGACCAGGUGAGAACUCCCAAGAAGGUCUAUUAGUAUGCCUAAGACUGUGACCGCCAAAUGAAAUUUGAGUGCUUCUGCUCGGUUUCCUUCUGCAGGUCAGGAACGAGACCCCCAAAUUCCUGACCCUCCUCUUCCUAAGAUUCAUGAUUCUUACAUUUUCUUCUCAUCACAAAUUGCUUUCCAGGUACCAUCUCAGUCGGUACCCAUAACCAGCCGAACCAACACUUACUUGAAGAGUCUUGAUGACUCCCUUCAGUUGGUAAAAUUAAUGAGAGGAUCCUGUUUUUAUUCCGUAGCCAUUAUUACACAUUUCAUGAGGCCUUGUACUCAGAUGAUAUUCUUUCUUUUUAGAGCCAAACUUAUUUCUUAUUUCACAUUGUCAGAUGACCCGAUGAUUUCUGAGCAACAUCCCUAGGUAGGAAAAAAGUGGAUAAACUGAGGCUCAUAAUGCUUAAGUGACUCCCUUAAGAUCUUAUGAUGAGUCAGGAAGCAAGACAGAAAUAGAAACCACGACUCUAGUCUGCUAAACUGUUUUUCUGACCACUAGACCACACUUCCUCUGCAGACUAUGAAACGCUGGAAAAUGGGAGUCAGGCAGAGAGUAAAUAUGGAGGCGAACCCACAGAAACACAAUUUUACUUGUACCCAAAUCAUGUCAUUUAGUAAAGGAAAACAGAGAAACACCCCAAGCUUUUUGCUGUCAUCAAAAUUAUAACCUAAACCAACAAUGGAUAUAGAAUAGGAAAUGAGUCUGCCCUGGAUAGACAUACCCUUUUCCAUUUAAAAUGAAUUUGAAAAAGUUGUCCAUUUUUCCGUCUUGAUGUGUUUUUCCUUUAUACAAAAGGAGAAUCUAAGUGUUCACUUUUAUUUAGAUUUAAGAGUGUAUAAAUAAAAUACCUUUAAUCCUCUCAUUGUUCACACAAUGCAGACCUAACCAACAAUUACUUGUUACAAGUUUAAGGCUCUGUGGGAACAGUUGGUGUAAUAGACACACUGUCUUUAAACUUAAAAUUUAGUUGGACAGAGUCUCCAUGUACCCAUGAAACUCUGAAGGCAGUUGACGAUGAACAUCAAAUGAGCAGGAGUGAUUAAGAAGCAGCCUAUGAUGUGUAAUAGCAAAAACCAAAGCAACGCUGUGUGAAGACUUGGGUUUGAGUCUCAGCUGUACCACGAGCUAACUUUCCACCUUGGACAAAUUACAUCCUAUGCAUUGACAGGGAGCGAUAGCAACUGUCUGCCUUGUCUUCCAACAGUAUUAGCGUGGAGACCAACAUGAGAAAAUGCAUGUAAAAUGGGCUGUGGGCUGGAAGAUGAAAUAUAGGAGGCAUUCAAGUCAUGAGAAGUAUCAGAAUCAUGCCAGGGUUGCACAGAAAAGCCUUUCUCCUUUGUAUCUAGAAUCUCCAAUGAUACAGUUUUCAAGGAACCUUCAGCAGGCUCAAAUGGAAACUAAAACAAGAAAUUAAAAACAGGCUCCCUUUGAAAUUAUUUUUGGCUAUGAGAACAGAAAAUAAUACGAUAUUUUCCCUUUGGUAAAUAGCUCCUUGCCUCAUCCUCAGUGAGAGCUAUCUGAACAUCUUGUGUGAAAUCUGUUGAUAAUGGUUUGAAGAGAGAACUUUCCAAUUAUGAAGAAGAAGGCAUGCAACUCAGGGAAGCCGAACCCUCUGUUGACUGGGACAGAGAGUGCCAAAAACCCUUCCCACCUGUGGUUCCCAGGGAGCAACCGCAGCAGCAUUUCAUCACCAGGACAAUGUGGCAACCAACAGGAAUCCUUGAAUGACCCUUUCAGGAAAACAAGCAUGAAAUUGUGUUCAGGGCUUCCACCUGUGGGUGAACCCGGGUAUUGUUGAUAUGGGAAACUUGAGAAAAGGCAGGAAUUUACUUUUAAAAUUAAGCAGGGAAAAUUUACUGUAAAUAUUGUUAAAUUUAUUGUUAAGUAGUCUGUGAGGAUACUUUAAUUCCAGGAGGUCAUGUGAUUUUUCUUAAUCGAGGAAACAACUAACUGUAAAACUUGUCUAAAAUUCUUACACUAACCUCUGCUUGCGUCAAGUCACUCUUUUACAGCAAUAAUUCAUUACACUUUACACUUAGCAAAAAAAUGUAGAGGGGUCGGCCCCAUGGCCGAGUGGUUAAGUUCGCGCGCUCAGCUGCAGGCGGCCCAGUGUUUCGUUGGUUCGAAUCUUGGGCGCGGACAUGGCACUGCUCGUCAAGCCACACUGAGGUGGUGUCCCAUGUGCCACAACUAGAAGGACCCAC
ensembl:lncRNA